rnacentral:rRNA from 1 species
GGGUCAGUAGGUUGGUCGUGCCACCGGUACGUACUGGUCUCACUGAUUCCUCCUUCCUGAAGAACCGUAAUGCCAUUAAUUUGGUGUUGCGGGGAAACAGGACUGUUACUUUGAAAAAAUUAGUGUGUUUAAAGCAAGCUAACGCUUGAAUACAUUAGCAUGGAAUAAUGAAAUAGGACGAUCGAUCCUAUUUUGUUGGUUUCUAGGAUUGACGUA